UACGAAGGGGGCUAGCGUUGCUCGGAAUCACUGGGCGUAAAGCGCACGUAGGCGGAUUGCUAAGUCAGGGGUGAAAUCCUGGAGCUCAACUCCAGAACUGCCUUUGAUACUGGCGGUCUCGAGUCCGGGAGAGGUGAGUGGAACUGCGAGUGUAGAGGUGAAAUUCGUAGAUAUUCGCAAGAACACCAGUGGCGAAGGCGGCUCACUGGCCCGGUACUGAUGCUGAGGUGCGAAAGCGUGGGGAGCAAACAGG
rnacentral:rRNA from 1 species